rnacentral:rRNA from 1 species
AUCGCGGUUAUACAAAUUAUUAAAAUAAAUUUUAUUGAUAUUAAAUAAGAUAAUUUUUAUAAUAAUAUUAUAAUUAAAUAAUAAAAGUGAAAUUUUUUAUUUUUAUUAAUUUAUUUAAUUAUUAUUUGAUUUUUGAAAUUUAAAAAAUAAACUAGGAUUAGAUACCCUAUUAUUUUAAAAGUAAAGUUAAUAUUAAGGGAUUAUAAGAUAUGAUCUUUAAAUUUAAAAAAUUUGGCGGUAUUUUAUUCUAAUUAGAGGAAUCUGUUCUAUAAUUGAUAGUCCACGAUAAAUUUUACUUAAUUUAUUAAUUAAUAUAUCGUCGUUAUCAAAAUAAUUUUUAAGAAUAUUAAAUUUUAUUAAAUUUAGUUAAAUUUUAUUUCAGAUCAAGAUGUUGUUUAUAAUUAUGAAGAAAUGGAUUACAAUAAAUUAAUUUAAAUGGAUAAUUUAUUGAAAAAUAGAUUUGAAAGUGGAUUUAAUAGUAAUUUAUAAAAAAUUUUAUAAAUGAUUAUGGCACUAAAAUAUGCACAUAUCGCCCGUCGCUCUUAUUAAUUCAAUAAGAUAAGUCGUAACAAAGUAGAUGUACUGGAAAGUGUAUCUAGAAAG